GACGAACGCUGGCGGCGUGCCUAAUACAUGCAAGUAGGACGCAGUUGCGAACGGGUGAGUAACGCGUAGGUAACUACCUAUUAGAGGGGGAUAACUAUUGGAAACGAUAGCUAAUACCGCAUACUAGUAGAUGGACCUGCGUUGUAUUAGCUAGUAGGUAGGGUAAUGGCCUACCUAGGCAACGAUACAUAGCCGACCUGAGAGGGAGGUCCGGCAAACUGGGACUUGGACACGGCCCAGACUCCUACGGGAGGCAGCAGUAGGGAAAUUUCGGAAAUUGGGGGAACCCUGACCGAGCAACGCCGCGUGAGUGAAGGAGGGUUUCGGAUCUGAAAGCUCUGUUGUUAAGGAAGCGGUACUUAACCAGAAAGGGACGGCUAACUACGUGCCAGCAGCCGCGGUAAUAC
rnacentral:rRNA from 1 species